UAGCACGUAGGUGGGUUUGUAAGUCAGAUGUGGAAGCUUUCUGUUCAAAGGAAGAACGGCAUCUGAAACUGCAGAUCUUGAGUGUAGGAGGGGAGAGUGGAACUUCUGGUGGAGCGGUGAAAUGCGUAGAUAUCAGAAGGAACGUCGGCGGCGAAAGCGACUCUCUGGCCUAUUACUGACACUGAGUGUGCGAAAGUUAGGGGAGCAAACGGGAUUAGAUACCCCGGUAGUCCUAACUGUAAACGAUGGGCACUAAGUAGAGGGGUUUU
rnacentral:rRNA from 1 species